rnacentral:rRNA from 1 species
AAAUUUAAAAUCUGGUGGUCUUUGGCCAUCCKAGUUGUAAUUUARAGAAGCGUCUUCCGCGSUGGACCGUGCACAAGUCUCCUGGAAUGGAGCGUCAUAGAGGGWGAGAAUCCCGUCUUUGGCYUGGAUCCCAGGGCUUCUGUGAUGCGCUCUCGACGAGUCGRGUUGUKUGGGAAUGCAGCUCANAAUGGGUGGUGAACUCCAUCUAAAGCUAAAUAUUGGCGAGAGACCGAUAGCGAACARGUACCGUGAGGGAAAGAUGAAAAGCACUUUGGAAAGAGAGUGAAACAGUACGUGAAAUUGUUGAAAGGGAAACGCUUGAAGUCAGUCGCGUUGACCGAGACUCAACCUUGCUKUGGCUUGGUGUAUUUCUCGGCUGACGGGUCAGCAUCAAUUUUGACCCUCAGAUAAUGGCARGGGAAAGGUGGCACCUUUUAGGUGUGUUAUAGUCCCAUGUCGCANGUGAGGGUUGGGAUUGAGGAACUCAGCAUGCACCUCUGGGUGUCGGGGCUUUGGCCCACGUUACAUGCUUARGAUGCUGGCAUAAUGGCUUUAAACGACCCGUCUUGAAACACGGACCAAGGAGUCUAACAUACCCGSNAGUGUUCGGGUGGAAAACCCGUGCGCGUAAUGAAAGUAAAAGUUGGGACCUCUGUCRUGGAGGGCACCGACRCCCGGACCAGACCUUCUGUGACGGCUCUGC